rnacentral:misc_RNA from 1 species
GUGUUGUUGAUCAAUGUAUAAUUCCUUAAAAUUUGGAAUACAUAAAGUCUGGGCAUAGUUGCAGAGAACAGUAAAAGAUAGGUGUUUUGCCAAAAUUCUGCAUAAGAAUUGCUUUGCAGGGUGCAUAUUCUUCCUGCAAAUAGCUUGCUUGUGCUUAGUAGCUCACAGUUUCUCUGAAAUGGUUAGGAGCAUAUUUACUUUACCUUUCUCACUGCUUAAAUUAUUGACAAGUUACUUAUCAAUAUCUGUUGUAGUUUCUGGUAUUUCUGGGUUUUGAGGCUUUGAGCAUCUGUUCUUCCUACAGUUUUUAGCUAAAAUCCUUAAUAUUUCUAAUGCAAUCAACAGUUAACCCUGAAGUUUUGAGCUUCUGAAAUAUAA